rnacentral:tRNA from 1 species
UCUCGAGUCGUAUAGUGGUUAGUAUUUCUGCUUGUCAUCCAAGGACAACUCGCAGGAGACCAGGGUUCAAUUCCCUGCUCGAGAG